rnacentral:tRNA from 1 species
GGUGCGGUGUAGCCCGAUGGGUAAGGGUGGCUGCCGCAACGCGGUAAGUUGAUGCCGGUUCGAAUCCGGCCCCGCAUCA